rnacentral:ncRNA from 1 species
ACGAUAGAGGCGCGGUCCUUAUAAGUAGCGUGGCUUUGGCACGGAAAUGCCGCACGCGAAAGGAAGUACCGCCGAAAUCCUCCGGCAGUUUCCGGUGCCGGUCGGUUGGGGUGCGACAGAAUAUGCCGUACACUGUCACUGCUUAAGUGGAGCGCUAUCGGG